rnacentral:lncRNA from 9 species
AUGCCAGCCCCUUUUCCCCCAAGAAACCCCCUCCAUGCUGAAGUGGCUGAACCUGGAGGAGCUGCCAGCCUGGACCACCUGCUGUAUCAGAACCAGCCCACCUCCAGAGCUGUGAAAGAGCUGAAUUACCAUUCUUGGCAACUUCUUUCUUCAAGGGAGCCAGAAAUGGAAUCAUGUAGAAUAUCCACUCCAUUCCACCAUCAAAACCUUGCUUCUCUUUAUGAGGAAACAGGCCCACAGAGGUACAUACGCUGUGGAUUAAAUGACUAGUUAGUGCUCUGGUCCUUUCACUAAGCCCUGAAAUCUUGACCCAGUAAUAAAUUUGUCCAGUGAAAGGAACUUCCCUAGCCUGCUGGUUUCCUAAGGGCCUUUGCAUCCUACACACACAUCCAGAGGGGGCUUCACCUCCCUGCUGAGAGGCCACCGCCUAAAAUAUUUUGAGUGACAUUCUGCUGUUCCUGCUGCAGUAGCACCAGUGUGCCUGAGCUUCAGCAAGGCCACCUGGGGUCUGUGUCACGCCUAGUUCACUGAGCACGUCCUUCUAGUUAACGAGCACCUACUUUGUAUAUAAGGCUCUGUGGAGAUUCAUAAAGAUUCAUCAAAGGUGAAUAAAAUACUGAGAUUCCACCAUAUCCUGUAAGCCACACUUGGAGAAAUAUCGUAAAUGCGCAUAAGCUCCAGGGUAGAAGUCACAAACUCACAUGCCUGCAGAGGCCCAGCUGACAACAUAAAUGAGUGCUUUUGGCUGGAUGUAAAACAAUUAUGGGCGGCUAAAGGGGGAGAGGUGGGAGGGGGCGCUUUUCCAGCUGGAGAGCGCAGGCCUGUUUCAAAGGGGCAGCUGCUACUCAUUUUCCAGCCAAUUGUGUUCCCGUGUAGAAAUGCAGGCUGAGCAUGGCCAGUACUGAAGAUUUCUUGGAUAAUGCCAGAAAUCUCGAUGUUAGUGUAAAAUCCCUCAAAUUUCCAAAGGGAUUGUACAGGGCACGUUUAUCCAGCUCAGUUUGCCGGGUCUCACAUAGUCCUGUACAGGACAGGAUGGUCACAGAAAACACACGCAAAGCCCUUGUAACCAUUCUUUUCCCUUCCUCCUUCCGGCCUCCCUGUAACCUUUCUUCCUCCUGGGGCCCCCUGCGGGAUCAGGCCGGGAUCCAGUGAACAUUCCAGAGAGGAAUCCUGGGUGUCAAUUGCGGGUGUGAUAUAAACAGCGCUGAGAUACAUUACUCGAGUGGUAGGCACCACACAGUGGAGUUCUUAAUUUUAUAAAAGACAGUAUUUAUGAUUUGCUUCUUUCAGGGAAGAGCUCUGUCAUUUUCGGUAAAACACUUCAAGGCGGAGAUGCAUUCAGAGCAUCGCACAGGGCUGCCCAGAAGCGAAUUCCAUGUGAUGUGAGUGAAAAAAGCAUCAAAUGCCACGUGACAGUCACUGCUUGAAGGGUUACAUUAGUAUUAAAACUGGGUUUAAAAAAUUCUAAAGGGACCAACGGGCCAGCCACUGAAAGACCUGCAUAUGACCUCUCAUUUUCUUCUCUGUCUCUUAAGGAGAUAAUGUGGCUAUCAGAGCAAUAAGUACAGACAGUUGUCCAUCACACUUAAAACAUUACAUAUUAUGCAGGCAUCAGGAGCAGAAGGCUAAGAACAGCCACUGUGGGGAGCACCUUAGGAGUCAGUGAGGGAAUGAUGGGACGAAUGAAAGGGAUCAAGGGGGAGAAGUUCCAGUUACCCAUAAACAGAGACUAGAAAGGUAGAAUCAGCAGGCCAUCAGAGGGCGUGGGAUUGAAGGGUAGUGUUAAAGUGUUACAUGUGUUAUUGUUACCGCUGACUUGGGGUACAGCAUAGGAGGGUAAAUAAAAUCAGGAGGGCAUGGUGGAGAAUAGGUGUUAGGGAUCCGGGCGUCUGACACAGAUAUAUAUAGACCUAGACUGUGUUAUACUGGAAAAUGGUUAGCACCUGGCUCUCCUAGGAGGGCAGGGAAGUCCUCACUGGUGGCAUUUGCUUAUUUGUGUGGUAUAAAUAUUCCCCCUAUGACUGGUUUCAGGCUUCAACGUGAAGUUACUAAAGAGGGAGUUGGAAAGAGGUGUCCUCAACUGGUCCCCAGCCAAGGUUAAAGGCAGGAAGGUGCAGUCUACAAAAUCCAAGAAAACUUAAGACCAAAAGCUGAAGUCCAGAGCAGUUGUGCUAAGGUGGCCCAAGGAAUGACUCUAGAGGUCAUGACCCUGAAGAGGUGGAAGCAGAGAUUAGAAAGGACCCCUAGGAGUUCCCGUCGUGGCUCAGUGGUU